GCAUAUCAAUAAGCGGAGGAAAAGAAACCAACAGGGAUUGCCCUAGUAACGGCGAGUGAAGCGGCAACAGCUCAAAUUUGAAAUCUGGCUCUUUCAGAGUCCGAGUUGUAAUUUGCAGAGGGCGCUUUGGCUUUGGCAGCGGUCCAAGUUCCUUGGAACAGGACGUCACAGAGGGUGAGAAUCCCGUACGUGGUCGCUAGCUAUUGCCGUGUAAAGCCCCUUCGACGAGUCGAGUUGUUUGGGAAUGCAGCUCUAAAUGGGAGGUAAAUUUCUUCUAAAGCUAAAUAUUGGCCAGAGACCGAUAGCGCACAAGUAGAGUGAUCGAAAGAUGAAAAGCACUUUGGAAAGAGAGUCAAACAGCACGUGAAAUUGUUGAAAGGGAAGCGCUUGCAGCCAGACUUGCUUGCAGUUGCUCAUCCGGGCUUUUGCCCGGUGCACUCUUCUGUAGGCAGGCCAGCAUCAGUUGGGGCGGUGGGAUAAAGGUCUCUGUCACGUACCUCUCUUCGGGGAGGCCUUAUAGGGGAGACGACAUACCACCAGCCUAGACUGAGGUCCGCGCAUCUGCUAGGAUGCUGGCGUAAUGGCUGUAAGCGGCCCGUCUUGAAACACGGACCAAGGAGUCUAACAUCUAUGCGAGUGUUUGGGUGUCAAGCCCGAGCGCGUAAUGAAAGUGAACGGAGGUGGGAACCCGCAAGGGUGCACCAUCGACCGAUCCUGAAGUUUACGGAAGGAUUUGAGUAAGAGCAUGGCUGUUGGGACCCGAAAGAUGGUGAMCCUAUGCUUGAAUAGGGUGAAKCCMSAGGAAACUCUGGUGGAGGCUCGCAGCGGUUCUGACGUGCAAAUCGAUCGUCAAAUUUGGGNAUAGGGGCGAAAGACUAAUCGAACUAUCUAGUAGCUGGUUCCUGCCGAAG
rnacentral:rRNA from 1 species